UACAGAGGUGGCAAGCGUUGUUCGGAAUUACUGGGCGUAAAGGGCGCGUAGGCGGCCUACUAAGUCAGACGUGAAAUCCCCGGCUUAACCUGGGAACUGCGUCUGAUACUGGAAGGCUUGAGGAUGGGAGAGGGAUGUAGAAUUCCAGGUGUAGCGGUGAAAUGCGUAGAUAUCUGGAGGAAUACCGGUGGCGAAGGCGGCAUCCUGGACCAUUACUGACGCUGAGGCGCGAAAGCUAGGGAGCAACGGG
rnacentral:rRNA from 1 species